UACAGAGGGUGCGAGCGUUGUCCGGAAUCACUGGGCGUAAAGGGCGCGUAGGUGGCAGGGUAAGCGUGCGGUGAAAGCCCGGAGCUCAACUCCGGGUCGGCCGUGCGAACUGCUUUGCUCGAGCACUGUAGAGGCAGGUGGAAUUCCGGGUGUAGCGGUGAAAUGCGCAGAUAUCAGGAGGAACACCGGUGGCGAAGGCGGGUCUCUGGGCCGAUACUGACGCUGAGGAGCGAAAGCGUGGGGAGCGAACAGG
rnacentral:rRNA from 1 species